UACGGGGGGAGCAAGCGUUGUUCGGAUUUACUGGGCGUAAAGGGCGCGUAGGCGGCCACCGCAAGUCGACUGUGAAAUCUCCGGGCUUAACUCGGAAAGGUCAGCCGAUACUGCGGGGCUAGAGUGCAGAAGGGGCAACUGGAAUUCUCGGUGUAGCGGUGAAAUGCGUAGAUAUCGAGAGGAAGACCUGCGGCGAAGGCGGGUUGCUGGGCUGACACUGACGCUGAUUGUGCGAAAGCUAGGGGAGCGAACGGG
rnacentral:rRNA from 1 species